rnacentral:rRNA from 1 species
GACGAACGCUGGCGGCGUGCUUAACACAUGCAAGUCGAACGGAAAGGCCCUGCUUUUGUGGGGUGCUCGAGUGGCGAACGGGUGAGUAACACGUGAGUAACCUGCCCUUGACUUUGGGAUAACUUCAGGAAACUGGGGCUAAUACCGGAUAGGAGCUCCUGCUGCAUGGUGGGGGUUGGAAAGUUUCGGCGGUUGGGGAUGGACUCGCGGCUUAUCAGCUUGUUGGUGGGGUAGUGGCUUACCAAGGCUUUGACGGGUAGCCGGCCUGCGAGGGUGACCGGCCACGUUGGGACUGAGAUACGGCACAGACUCCUACGGGAGGCAGCAGUGGGGAAUAUUGCACAAUGGGCGGAAGCCUGAUGCAGCAACGCCGCGUGCGGGAUGACGGCCAUCGGGUUGUAAACCGCUUUCGCCUGUGACGAAGCGUGAGUGACGGUAAUGGGUAAAGAAGCACCGGCUAACUACGUG